UGCCUUGUAGUAUAAUAUAACAUAUUACUAUAAACUGCAACUUUAUCAAAGCAACUAGCCAAGGCAU
rnacentral:tRNA from 1 species